rfam:Sarcophilus harrisii ctg7180002322388, whole genome shotgun sequence.
CCAGGUUGAGGUAGUAGGUUGUAUGGUUUAGAGUUAUAUCCUGGGAGUUAACUGUACAACCUUCUAGCUUUCCUUG